AGAAAAGGAAAAGAGAAAAUUUAUCAAUCAUGAAAAUGGUCCUAGAACGUCAACUCAUUUUUUAUAUAUAAAUUUUGGCUACUUAUUCUCAUUUUUAUUUUUCAAGUUGGCUUGGAUGGAUUAAAAUGACUCAGUUUUCUUUUUCUUUUUUUGUAGUGGAUAAUAAAUGCUUUCAAUUUUUUUCCUUUCAUGGAGAAGUUUAUCAUGUAAUUGACUUUAAAAUUCAUACUUUAAUGAAAUUCACUCGUACCAUCAAGUUUUCUAGGUUUGUAUGUAAGAUAAAUUUAGGCCACCCCAUUUUCAGAUCCUGGAUCCGUCCCUGAUCAGGCCCAGUCAUUCCCUCACAAAGUUAUAGUCUAUGUUGCAUGGACACGGAUACGGGGACAAGGGAACGCGACGCAGGGACACGAUGACACGGAAAAUCUCAAAAAAUUAAGACACGGGUCCGUAGGACACGGCAAUUAAAAUAAUAAUUUAUUCUCAAUACUUCAAUGUCACAUAAUUUCAUAAAACAAAACAAAUCACUCAUGUUCAUCAUCCAUACAUAAUAAUUAAUAGACCACAAAAUAAAACAUAAAUGAUAUAAC
rnacentral:lncRNA from 1 species